rnacentral:rRNA from 1 species
GACGAACGCUGGCGGCGUGCUUAACACAUGCAAGUCGAACGGAAAGGCCCUGCUUUUGUGGGGUGCUCGAGUGGCGAACGGGUGAGUAACACGUGAGUAACCUGCCCUUGACUUUGGGAUAACUUCAGGAAACUGGGGCUAAUACCGGAUAGGAGCUCCUGCUGCAUGGUGGGGGUUGGAAAGUUUCGGCGGUUGGGGAUGGACUCGCGGCUUAUCAGCUUGUUGGUGGGGUCGUGGCGUACCACGGCCUUGACGGGUAGCCGGCCUGAGAGGGUGACCGGCCACAUUGGGGCUGAGAUACGGCCCAGACUCCUACGGGAGGCAGCAGUGGGGAAUAUUGCACAAUGGGCGGAAGCGGGAUGCAGCAACGCCGCGUGCGGGAUGACGGCCUUCGGGUUGUAAACCGCUUUCGCCUGUGGCGAAGCGUGAGUGACGGUAAUGGGUAAAGAAGCACCGGCUAACUACGUG